rnacentral:rRNA from 1 species
CGUUCCCGGGUCUUGUACACACCGCCCGUCACACCAUGGGAGCGGGUUUUACCAGAAGUAGGUAGCCUAACCGCAAGGAGGGCGCUUACCACGGUAGGAUUCGUGACUGGGGUGAAGUCGUAACAAGGUACCC